CUCUGAGUUCAGCCAGUCGCCAGUUCUCAAGCCACCUGACCAUCCACUCAUCUAUUCUGCACAUCCUCAGCUUCAAAAUAAGGAUGUUGUGGAAGACAGAAUCAAAUGCCUUGGUGAAAUCAAGGUAGACUACAUCCACUGCUCUCUCCCCAUCCACCUAGCCAGUGAUGACAUAGAAGGCUACCAGGUUGGUUGGGUUCAACUGCCCCCUGAUAAAACCAUGCUGACUACUUCUGAUAACCACCUUCUCUUCCAGCUUCCUAGAGGUGGCAUCACAAACAAGUUGUUCCAUAACCUUUCCAGGGACAGAGAUGAGGAUGACUGGCAAAAAAAAUCCAUUGAGGAAUCCUCCAUGGCACACUGGGAAUCCUAUGGCAAGUGCGGGACGGAGUGUUGAUCUGGCUGAGGGGAGAAGGGCACUACAGAGGGACCUGGAUAGACUGGAUCAAUGGGCCUAGGGUUGAGGACACAAAGGACAACCCGGUCCCUCCUGAGGAGCAACCUAUGAAGGAGACCAAGAGCCAGACCUCCACCUGGCGCUGCUGGUUUGGCUUAACCUCCUGCCCCAUCAGGAACAAGGACACGAACACAAACCAGGUCCUUCCAGAGGAGCAGCGUACGGAGAAAACCAAGAGCCAAACCUCAUACUGGUCCUGCUUGCUUGGCUCUUCCCAGUGUCCCAUAUGGGUCUGGUACAAGGGCAGCAAAGUUGCUGUUCCACAAGGCCCAAAGCAGCAGUCCCCGGGCACCAAGCAGAAGGCCUACAGCUUGCCUGGCAUCCUGGGCCACCUUUGGGACUACCUUAUGCAAAGAGGGAGAACCUGGCUCCUUACAGCUCCCUUGACAAUUUUCUCCAUUCUCUGGCUGCUGACAACUGCCCGUGCCCACUGGAGAAGAUUAAGAAGACCUCGGGGACAGAGAACGGGACAAGCGGACCCAGCUUCCUUAGGAACAGAGGAAACGGACAACCUAAAUGCUCUCGACCUGCUCUGCCAGAUGAACGCCUACAUAACCUUAAUGGAGAGAAUUAUGACAAUCCUCAUGCAGCACCAUGUGAAAAAUGUCAGGAGCCAGCAGUGCAGGAAGACAGCGCACAGCACGGGGGACAGGAAGAGCCUCUCCACAGACUCCUGAGGGAGCUGGCAGAGGUGACUGCCAAGCCGCUCUCGGCCAUCUACCAGCCCUCCUGAUUAACUGGAGAGGUCAACAAGGCCAAGUGGCGGGUCCUGCACUUUGGCCACAACAACCCCAUGCAGUGCUAUAGGCUUGGGGAUGAGUGGCUGGAGGACUGUGAAGAGGAAAGUGUCCUGGGGGUGUUGGCUGAUGAAAGGCUCAACAUGAGCCGGCACCGUGCACUUGCAGCCCCCAAGGCCAAGCGUUUCCUGUGCUGCAUUAAGACAAACGUGAUUAGCAGGUCAGGGGAAGUGAUUCUGUCCCUCUACUCUGCUCUCACAAGGCCCCACCUGCCGCACUGCAUCCACUUCUGAGGCCCCCAUCACAAGAAAGACAGCAGAUCAGGUCCACUGAUGCUGAGCACCGUGCCUCCAAGUGGCUGUGCUGACCGGGCCUUUCUCAAUGCCCCAUUCGGCUCUGGAACAAGGUCAGCAAGGCUGUUGUUCCAGAUGGCCCAAAGCAGCAACCCUCAGGCAUCAAGUGGAAAGCCUUCAGCUUUGCAAAAUCCCCACUGUGGCGGAGAGACUUGGAGAGGGACAACAACAGUGACAGCUCAUCAGGCGGAUGCAGUCCUGCACCGGGUCUUCAUGGGGGGUCCCAUGAACAUAUCGAGGCAGAGUUGCUGUUGCGACACAAUGCAACCCCCUGAAAAGGAUGAAUGUUCACAGCAAAAAAGACUUAGCCUUCAUCCAACAACCAUCAGAGACCCCCACCACAUCUUUAGGACGCGUGCUUAAGAAGGUGGUACAACAUGUCAGUAAUUUCUCAAAAUUCCAGCCCAUUUUUUUGGAAUGUAACAAAUAUGUCUAUGUUAUGUCUUUAAAUAUGUAACCACGUCUGUUCUUGGUGUGUGCGAGUAAGGAAUUAUCCCCCUCACACACGGUGCCACAAUAAAUAUACCUACUUUAAAAUCUUAUGUGGGUUAUGGACUUUGAUUCCGCAGGAUACCAGUAUGCUAAGGUGGUGAGCCUGCAAGCUUGCUUGGCAGCACUGAGCAGCAGCAGGUCAACCAGGAUGAUACUAAGGGCCACCAACUGCCUCCAGCUAUGAGAGACUGAACGGCGCGGGUUGGGUAUUUUGGUCUCCAUUGGGCCCUUUGAUGUCAAUGGUGACCUCUGGAUGCUGUGAGGGUACACAGCAAACCCAGCUGUUUGUCAUAGAAUCAUAGAAUGGCCUGGGUUGAAAAGAACCACAAUGAUCAUUGAGUUUCAGCCCCCCUACUAUGUGCAAGGUCUCCAAUCACUAGACCAGGCUGCCCAGAGCCACAGCCAGCCUGGCCAUGAAUGCCUCCAGAGACAGGGCAUCCACAACCUCCUUGGGCAACCUGUUCCAGUGUGUCACCACCCUCUGCGUGAAAAAACUUCUUCCUAAUAUCCAGCCUAAACCUCCCCUGGCCCAGUUUAAAACCAUUCCCCUUUGUCCUAUCACUAUCCACUCUCAUAAACAGCCGUUCCCCUUUCUGACCAUAUACUCCCUUCAAGUACUGGAAGGCUGCAAUGAGGUCUCCCCGGAGCUUUCUCUUCUCCAAACUGAACAAUCCCAGCUCCCUCAAACUUUCCUCAUAGGAGAGGUGCUCCAGCCCUUUGAUCAUCUUAGUAGCCCUCCUCCAGACCCGCUCCAAGAGCUCCGUGUCCUUCCAGUAUUGGGGGCCGCAGGCCUGGACGCAUUACUCCACAUGGGGCCUCACAAGAGAUGAGUAGAGGGGCGCAAUCACCUCCCUCUCCCGGCUGGCCACCCCUUUUUUAUUGCAGCCCAGAACACAACUGGCCUUCUGAGGUGCAAGCACACACUGCUGGCUCAUGCCCAGCUUCUCGUCUACCAGGACCCCCAAGUCCUUCUCCGCAGGGCUGCUCUCAAGGAGAUCAUCCCCCAGUUUGUAUAAAUACCUGGGAUUGCCCCGACCCAAAUGCAGCACCCUGCACUUGGCCUUACUGAACCUCAUUAGGUUUUCAUGGGCCCACUUCUCCAGCCUCUCCACGUCCCUCUGGAUGGCUUCCCUUCCUUCCAAUGUACCGACUGCACCACUCAGCUUAGUGUCAUCCGCAAACUUGCUGAGGGUGCACUCGAUGCCAUCGUCUGUCAUUGAUAAAGAUGUUGAAGAGCACCAGUCCCAAGACCAACCCUGAGAGACACCACUUGUGACCGGCCUCCACCCUGACACAGACCCAUUGAUCACAACUCUUUGGCUGCGUCCAGCCAGCCGAUUCCUAAUCCAUUGAACAGUCCAUCCUUCAAAUCCACACUUCUGCAAUUUAGAGAGAAGGAUGUGGUGAGGGACCAUGUCAAAGGCCUUGCAGAAAUCCAGGUAGAUGACAUCCACCGUCCUUCUCCCAUCCACCAAAGCCG
ensembl:lncRNA